UUAAUUCACUUUCUAAUCUAUUUGCUAACUAAUUCAAACAACAAAAGCAAGCUGUUGCUAUCUGAACGUCAACAAGAGACCAGACGGAACUGCCCUAAAGGUAUUCGUUGCAAUCCUCAAUCCCAAUCGCCACAUUCCGCUAAGGGUUAUAACACUCCCGAAGGAGCCACAUCCCCUCGACCUUUUUAUGACAAUCGAAAUUGAUGCUGACCAGCAAACACCAAAAUACACGGCUAUGUAGGCAUCUAACACAAGACAGCGGUUUUGAGGCUCGCCAUCUCGCGUUAGA
rnacentral:rRNA from 1 species